rnacentral:rRNA from 1 species
UACGUAGGGUGCAAGCGUUGUCCGGAAUUAUUGGGCGUAAAGAGCUCGUAGGCGGUCUGUUGCGUCCGCUGUGAAAACUCGGGGCUUAACCCCGAGCCUGCAGUGGAUACGGGCAGACUAGAGGUAGGUAGGGGAGAAUGGAAUUCCCGGUGUAGCGGUGAAAUGCGCAGAUAUCAGGAGGAACACCGGUGGCGAAGGCGGGUCUCUGGGAAACAACUGACGCUGAGGAACGAAAGCGUGGGUAGCAAACAGG